AAGACCUACGGGGGGCAGCAGUCGGGAAUAUUGCGCAAUGGAGGAGACUCUGACGCAGUGACGCCGCGUAUAGGACGAAGGUCUUCGGAUUGUAAACUAUUGUCGUUAGGGAAGAGAAAGGACAGUACCUAAGGAGGAAGCUCCGGCUAACUACGUGCCAGCAGCCGCGGUAAUACGUAGGGGGCAAGCGUUAUCCGGAUUUACUGGGUGUAAAGGGAGCGUAGACGGCAGAGCAAGUCUGAAGUGAAAGCCCGCGGCCCAACUGCGGGACUGCUUUGGAAACUGCCCGGCUAGAGUGCUGGAGG
rnacentral:rRNA from 1 species